rnacentral:rRNA from 1 species
GUAGGGAGCAAGCGUUGUCCGGAUUUACUGGGUGUAAAGGGUGCGUAGGCGGGCUUGCAAGUCAGAAGUGAAAUCUAUGGGCUUAACCCAUAAACUGCUUUUGAAACUGUAAGCCUUGAGUGAAGUAGAGGUAGGCGGAAUUCCCGGUGUAGCGGUGAAAUGCGUAGAGAUCGGGAGGAACACCAGUGGCGAAGGCGGCCUACUGGGCUUUAACUGACGCUGAGGCACGAAAGCGUGGGUAGCAAA